UACAAAACCAUCGAGGACAUCGCAAUUAACACUUAUCUAAUCUCGUAAUCAGCGAUAACCGAAAAUGUUCUGUAGCACAUUAAAAAACUGCAACGAUUUUUUCAAAACCAGACCACCGGCAGUGAUUUUUUUCAUUUCUCUUGUUGUUAUCACCAUCACAACUUUCACCCUAUCGCUCUAUAUCAGAUGCGCAAACAACAUUUUAAAUACCGACCUCGAACAAAAUUGGAAAUCACUGACCCAACAUUUAAACAACUUAGAUUUAUAUUUCGCGGAUGAAAAAAUCGCCAAACCGUACAUUGAGGAAAUCACUUUGGUGACACUAAUUAGUGUAAACCCCUCUGAUUUCAAGAAUUUCACAAAAGUGAAAGCUUAUUACAAAUUGAGUGAUUGGCAACCCUUUUGUUACAACAAUCACAACAAAAAUGCCCUAAUCACUGUCGAUUUUCUUGUCACGAACGAAACCCAAGUUUGCGCGCGAAUUAAAGGACCGAAACAAUAUUUACCAGAAAAAUUAAGUCAGUCAUGUGACCCAAGCAACAAUCAGGAUUAUAACACGUCACUCCUUUACUCACAUCCAAAUUUUAACUCAAAUGGAAGCCCAAUAAAACUCACUUUUGACAAAAAUGCCAGAUUUGAAGCCUAUUUAAGCCAGAGUGACCGAAACCUGAUUUACGUGCAUCUGGUGUGGUGUAGCUAUAUUUUGAUGAUGUUCGUAUUAGUUGUAUUGUUUUAUGCCAAGUUUUAUCGGUAUGAAGCUAUUGAUACAGAUGUUGAUCAUUUCAAAUUGCAAAUAAAAUAAUAAUACAGCGUUA